GACGAACGCUGGCGGCGUGCUUAACACAUGCCAGUCGAACGGAAAGGCCCUGCUUGCAGGGUACUCGAGUGGCGAACGGGUGAGUAACACGUGGGUGGUUUGCCCUGCACUUCGGGUUAAGCCUGGGCAACUGGGUCUAAUACCGGAUAGGAGCCAUUUUUAGUGUGAUGGUUGGAAAGUUUUUUCGGUGUAGGAUGAGCUCGCGGCCUAUCAGCUUGUUGGUGGGGUAAUGGCCUACCAAGGCGGCGACGGGUAGCCGGCCUGCGAGGGUGGACGGCCACAUUGGGACUGAGAUACGGCCCAGACGCCUACGGGAGGCAGCAGUGGGGAAUAUUGCACAAUGGGCGCAAGCCUGAUGCAGCGACGCCGCGUGGGGGAUGACGGCCUUCGGGUUGUAAACUCCUUUCGCUAGGGACGAAGCUGUUGUGACGGUACCUAGAUAAGAAGCACCGGCUAACUACGUG
rnacentral:rRNA from 1 species